UGACGACGAUAAAAGAAUAUGAAGUCAAUAUUUGUCUCACGACAGAUUCAAAUCAGGAACGAACGGAUUCGAAUAAUGGUGGUUUCGGGCAAAUCAACUACUUGAUCGUGGGAGUUGGAGCGCCUGUGUUACUAAUCGUCAUUAUUGCAGUUAUUUAUAUUGUCAUGCAACAACAAAGGCGGCGACGGGCUGAGGCAACACCAGACGUUUCUUUCAAAACAUGUAAUACCAACGAAAGCGAAAAUUCUGUAUCGACAAUGCAGCGCGAGGAAGAUUUAACCAUCGGAUGUGACGCCAAGAAGAAGGAUAUUUGUGAGAUGCAGACAAUUUGCUGACGAGUAUUGUCAUCGAAAUGCUGAUAGAAGGAAUGUUGUUCCACACUAGAGAGUUUUUAGUCGACAAGGAUAGCGGUACCACUAAACAUUUACCUAUAUAAAAUUUUCAAAGUCCAUUAUCGAGUAGA